rnacentral:rRNA from 1 species
AACGAACGCUGGCGGCAUGCCUAACACAUGCAAGUCGAACGAGACCUUCGGGUCUAGUGGCGCACGGGUGCGUCACGCGUGGGAACCUGCCCUUAGGUUCGGAAUAACUCCCCGAAAGGGGUGCUAAUACCGGAUAAUGUCUUCGGACCAAAGAUUUAUCGCCUUUGGAUGGGCCCGCGUUGGAUUAGCUGGUUGGUAGGGUAAAAGCCUACCAAGGCGACGAUCCAUAGCUGGUCUGGGAGGAUGAGCAGCCACACUUGGACUGAGACACGGCCCAGACUCCUACGGAAGGCAGCAGUGGGGAAUAAUGGACAAUGGGCGAAAGCCUGAGCCAGCAAUGCCGCGUGAGUGAUGAAGGCCUUAGGGUUGUAAAGCGCUUUUACCCGAGAUGAAAAUGACAGUACCGGGAGAAUAAGCUCCGGCUAACUCCGUG